rnacentral:rRNA from 1 species
GGGGUAAAAUUAAUAAAUUAAUUUUAAUAAAAAAAUUUUUAAUAAAAUAUUUUAAAGGGGGGGUUAAAGUAUAUUUAUAGAAAAAAUAAAUUAAUUUAUAGUUAAAUAGUAUUGUAAAAGAAUUUUGAAAUAAUUGAAAAUUAAAUUUUUUUAAAAGUAAUUUUUAUUUAAUGUAUCUUGGGUAUCAGAGUUUAUUAAAAAAAAUUAUUAAACAAAAAAAUUCUCGAAUUUAAAAGAGAUAAUUAAUUAAUAAAGUUAUUGUAGCAUAAAUAUUUUAAAUAAUUAAUUGGAAAUGAAAUGUUAAUCGUUUUUAAAUAUAUCUAGUUUUUUUAGAAAAAAAUUUAAUUUUAUAUUAUUUAAAAAAAAAAUUAAUUAAUUAAUUUUUUUUUUAAAUAAUAAUAUAUUUUAAGGGAUAAGCUUUAAUUUAAAUUUAUAUAAAUAAAUUGAAAAAUUAAAUUGAAAAUUUUAUAAUUUAUAUUGUUAAAAAAAUUUAAUUUAUUAUAAAUAAUUUCAUUUAAAAUAAAAUUUAAUAAAAUUUUAUAUGGUUUAUAAAAAAAAAAUUUUUAAUAAAAUAAAAUUUGAUAUAAUGAUAAAAUUAGUAUAUAAUAAAAUAUAUAAAUGAAUAAUUUAGUAUAAAUAAUUAAUUAAAAGGAAUUCGGCAAAAAUUUAUAUUCACUUGUUUAUCAAAAACAUGUCUUUUUGAAAAUAAUAUAAAGUCUAAUCUGCCCACUGAUAUAAUAUUAAAGGGCUGCAGUAUAUUGACUGUACAAAGGUAGCAUAAUCAUUAGUCAUUUAAUUGAUGACUUGUAUGAAAGAUUGGAUGAAAUAUAAACUGUCUCUUAAUUAAAUAUAGAAUUUAAUUUUUAAAUUAAAAAGUUUAAAUAAUUUAAAAAGACGAGAAGACCCUAUAGAGUUUUAUAAAUUUAAUGAUUAAGAUUAUUUAUUAAAAAAAAAAAUUAAAAUUAAUAAAUUUAUUUUGUUGGGGUGACAAAAAAAUAUAAAAAACUUUUUUUAAAAUAAAACAUAUAUAAAUGAUUAAAUGAUCCAUUAUUAUUGAUUAUAAGAAAAAAUUACCUUAGGGAUAACAGCGUAAUUUUUUUUUUUAGUUCUUAUAAAAAGAAAAGUUUGCGACCUCGAUGUUGGAUUAAGAUAAAAUUUAAAUGCAGUAGUUUAAAAUUUUUGAUCUGUUCGAUCAUUAAAAUCUUACAUGAUCUGAGUUCAAACCGGUGUAAGCCAGGUUGGUUUCUAUCUUUUAAAAAAUAAAAUAUUUUAGUACGAAAGGAUUAAAUAUUUAAAUUAAAUUUUUUAUUUUGAAUUUUAUUAAAGAUAAUUUAUAAAUUUAUAAUAAAUAAAUUAAUAUAUAUAUAUAUAUAUUUAUAUAUUU